rnacentral:rRNA from 1 species
GCUGGUUCUCUCCGAAAUAGCUUUAGGGCUAGCCUCAAGUGAUGAUUAUUGGAGGUAGAGCACUGUUUGGACGAGGGGCCCUUCUCGGGUUACCGAAUUCAGACAAACUCCGAAUGCCAAUCAAUUUAACUUGGGAGUCAGAACAUGGGUGAUAAGGUCCGUGUUCGAAAGGGAAACAGCCCAGACCACCAGCUAAGGUCCCAAAAUAUAUGUUAAGUGGAAAAGGAUGUGGCGUUGCCCAGACAACUAGGAUGUUGGCUUACCAGA